rnacentral:rRNA from 1 species
AGAGUUUGAUUAUGGCUCAGGAUGAACGCUAGCUACAGGCUUAACACAUGCAAGUCGAGGGGUAGCAGGGUAGCAAUACCGCUGACGACCGGCGCACGGGUGAGUAACACGUAUCCAACCUUCCCAUAACUCAGGGAUAGCCUUUCGAAAGAAAGAUUAAUACCUGAUAGUACUUUUUCAAGGCAUCUUGAGAAAGUUAAAGAUUUAUUGGUUAUGGAUGGGGAUGCGUUCCAUUAGAUAGUUGGUGAGGUAACGGCUCACCAAGUCUUCGAUGGAUAGGGGUUCUGAGAGGAAGGUCCCCCACAUUGGUACUGAGACACGGACCAAACUCCUACGGGAGGCAGCAGUGAGGAAUAUUGGUCAAUGGGCGAGAGCCUGAACCAGCCAAGUAGCGUGAAGGAUGAAGGUCCUAUGGAUUGUAAACUUCUUUUAUAGUAGAAUAAAGUGAUCCACGUGUGGAUUUUUGUAUGUAUACUAUGAAUAAGGAUCGGCUAACUCCGUGCCAGCAGCUGC